GGAAGCCUGAUGCAGCAACGCCGCGUGAGGGAUGACGGCCUUCGGGUUGUAAACCUCUUUUAGCAGGGAAGAAGCGAGAGUGACGGUACCUGCAGAAAAAGCGCCGGCUAACUACGUGCCAGCAGCCGCGGUAAUACGUAGGGCGCAAGCGUUAUCCGGAAUUAUUGGGCGUAAAGAGCUCGUAGGCGGUUUGUCGCGUCUGCUGUGAAAUCCCGAGGCUCAACCUCGGGCCUGCAGUGGGUACGGGCAGACUAGAGUGCGGUAGGGGAGAUUGGAAUUCCUGGUGUAGCGGUGGAAUGCGCAGAUAUCAGGAGGAACACCGAUGGCGAAGGCAGAUCUCUGGGCCGUAACUGACGCUGAGGAGCGAAAGGGUGGGGAGCAAACAGGCUUAGAUACCCUGGUAGUCCACCCCGUAAACGUUGGGAACUAGUUGUGGGGACCAUUCCACGGUUUCCGUGACGCAGCU
rnacentral:rRNA from 1 species